rnacentral:lncRNA from 1 species
CGAGAGGAUGCCGUUGAAUUCGGGAGAGAAACGUGCAGAUAUUGCUGUGUUAAUAUUCGGGUGUUACAAAAUCAUUGUCUCUUCAGGAUGUAAUCUGAGAAUAGGGACUGUUUCUGCUCUUCCAAAUAUUUUAGAGCUGCUCAUCUUGAGGAGGAAAGAACUACAUUCAGAGGUUAGCUACUGGUACCGCUCUGAGUCACUGGGAGAUUGUUCUGCCAUUUCCAUCUCUCUACCCAAACAAGAGUUGACGUUGGAUUUUCUCCAAACAACUGAGCAGCUGCCCCUUUCUCUUUGUGGAACAAGGAGCUCUGAAGACUUCCCAUAUCAUAUCCAGGCUCUCCUGGAUAUUUAUCCGUGUUAAGGAAUUGUAUAGAGGGGUCCUGAGGAGAAAAAAGAGAUCUGUUUCCCAUUUUCCAAGUAAUUGAUUCACAUGUGUAUUCU